AGCCCUCAACCAAAAAAGACGAUGUAGCAGCUUGCAGAUGGUCUGUUUGCACAGGCAGUGAAACAACCAAUUAUAUGCACAUAAAUUGCACUUUUCUUUCAGGGUGAGAUAUACUGAAAUGGAAUUAGUGAAAAAGCCAAUUUUAUACUUAAAAUAGAAGGCAUUUUACUAUACUCUAUAUUUUCUGAAACAUUCUCAAAAUUCCAAGUUUAGAAAGAUGUUUCCUCAAGUAAAAUCCAUUCUCGUAAACUCGCCAGGAUUUUCAAACAAUGCAGAUGAUACCCCCUGGAAUACCCUUAUGCAUAAAUUGACGACUACAGUAUUUCUGAUUUGAGUUUUAGUACAACGAUCUACCAGAUGUACCGAUCUUAUUGAAUUAUUUGAGAUAGGAUUUCAAGAUAUUGUGUAUUGGAUGAAAGAGAAACUUAGACAAUCUUCGGACAACAGAAAUGCAGUACUUUAACUUCGCUUUGCUUCUUUGCGUGAUAUAUAUUGCAACAGUUCCCUGCUUGAAUGCAAAAUUGAUAAAAAUUUGUGCUCUUGGAGAAAUUGAAAGCGCCAUUGAUUAUUGCUGUGCUAACCAAGAGAAAUGCAAGGUAUUAAGCGGCAAAAAUUAUCAAGAUCAUAAGAACAGCGCUGGGCAUGUACUCCCACGUACAAAAGCAACUUCGUUCAUCCAUAAUGGCCUAAGAAGGAGGAGAAGAUCGGGCAAAAGACCUAAUGUUGUUGAAGAAGUAGUUACUACUCCAACUCAAGAAUGUUGCUAUGAAGGAUGUGUCUUAGAGGAACUUAGAGAGUACUGUCGGGAUUAACGCAAAGUCUUUUUUCUCAAAUCUUCCUGGCUUUUUACUUUUCUUGUCUAUGACUCUAAGUUACUUAGCUAAAUGUUUUCCAAGUUGCUAUAAAUCAUACUAUCAUUAGCUUUGUGACUUCAAAUGUACAAAUAUUUCAGAGAAAAUCGCCGUUAUUAUCACCAUGCAGUUGGGGGCAUUUGAAAAAUAUAUGGCACUCUUUCCAUUCUAAUUAAGAAUGGUGAAAUCGACUAAAGAAUCUGCCUAGUGAUGAAAUAACAUUGUCACGUGACUACUAGUGGCAUCUGUAUUCAGCAAGUUCUUCGAAUGUGCAAGUUUCGUUGCAGCAUUCCUCGUUGGCAUUGCUGUACCAGGUUCGCAAAUGUCUUUUCUGUCUGGAAGUCGUCAACAGAAACAUCAUUGCAUCUUGUUUUUUUAAAAAUGGUAUCUGCUUUUCUUCAUUGAUUUCUGCAAGAAAAUAUAAAGUUUUAGGUUGCGUAUAGAAGAAUUUUUUUUCCAAAAUUGCAUUUUUUGUCUUGAAAUUUUGAUUAGUUUCUUCAUAUUUUUAGAAAAAACUUCUAUUCUCAAUAUCAAUAAAUUCUUGUAAAACAGUUGACAAGGAUAUUGAAGAAGUUAAGUUUUUAACAAUGGGAUAAGCAAAUGUACUCCUUCUUAAAAGACGCAUGCCUUCUUGAGCGACGUUCCGAAGCAAAGUUGUUGGAACAGUGUCUCCUUAUUCUUUUAAAGAAUAUAAAGUAAUUUCAACUUUUUGAUCAGGCAUAUUUUUUCGGAAUAAAUGUACUGGUUAUAUAGCAGUUAAAUCAUAGAUGCAUCUUAGUUUCACUCGUGAAUUAUGGUGAAUAUUCCCAAUCAAUAAAUGUCGACAAACUUUAUAUGUGAAACCGCCUUUGAUCGAAAGUCUUUCAGCACACCGCAAUACUUUCCUUCAUUUCCUUUUUUGAAUUGUUCACUUAAUAAUUUCUUUUUUGCCGUGUUUUGUCGAAAUUUUGGUAGCUAAAUUACUACUUUCCAUUGUGACUCUUUCUACUUUUCAGAAUUCUCCUUGCAGGGCAAUUUAAGAUUAUCCUCUUACGGUAAUAACUUUAAAAACAAUAUUUGUAUCUUCAUGCUGUUUUCUUUCUUUCUUUGGUCGAAAUUUUUCAUGUAAGGGCUACUUUAUUUCAUACAUUUAAGUUAAUCGUAGGUGACACAUUAAUCGUAGAAAACGUGAUCCUUGCCUAGAUGAGAGAAAUUGGACCUAUUAAUGUAAUGCAAUGUUUGAUUGCAAUACUGGUGAUUUAAAGGCGACUAUGAAUCUCAAUCUUUAUCAGCUUUUCAUUCUUAUUUAUGGUAUUUAAAAGUAUAGACAAAGAAACCAACCUUGGA